rnacentral:piRNA from 1 species
UGAACCAAUGCAUUACUCUGAGGUGUUCU